GACGAACGCUGGCGGCGUGCUUAACACAUGCAAGUCGAACGGAAAGGCCCUGCUUUUGUGGGGUGCUCGAGUGGCGAACGGGUGAGUAACACGUGAGUAACCUGCCCUUGACUUUGGGAUAACUUCAGGAAACUGGGGCUAAUACCGGAUAGGAGCUCCUGCUGCAUGGUGGGGGUUGGAAAGUUUCGGCGGUUGGGGAUGGACUCGAGGCUUAUCCGCUUGUUGGUGGGGUAGUGGCUUACGAAGGCUUUGACGGGUAGCCGGCCUGGGAGGGGGGCCGGCCACAUUGGGACUGCGAGACGGCCCAGAAUCCUACGGGAGGCAGCAGUGGGGAAUAUUGCACAGUGGGCGGAAGUCUGAUGCAGCAACGCCGGGUGCGGGAUGACGGCCUUCGGGUUGUAAACCGCUUUCGCCUGUGACGAAGCGUGAGUGACGGUAAUGGGUAAAGAAGCACCGGCUAACUACGUG
rnacentral:rRNA from 1 species